CACGUAGGGUGCGAGCGUUGUCCGGAAUUAUUGGGCGUAAAGAGCUCGUAGGCGGUGUGUCGCGUCGGCCGUGAAAACCUGCAGCUUAACUGUGGGCGUGCGGUCGAUACGGGCAUCACUGGAGUUCGGCAGGGGAGACUGGAAUUCCUGGUGUAGCGGUGAAAUGCGCAGAUAUCAGGAGGAACAUCGGUGGCGAAGGCGGGUCUCUGGGCCGAUACUGACGCUGAGGCGCGACAGCGUGGGGAGCAAACAGG
rnacentral:rRNA from 1 species